rnacentral:ribozyme from 1 species
UUUUUUUUUUUUUUUUUUUUUUUUUUUUUUUUUUUUUUGUU